GCCCGCGGCCCGCCGGGAGCCGCUCCUGGCCCGCCGAGAAACUGCCGGAACUCGCCGGGAGCCCGCCCGCCGCCCUGUUUGUCCGCUCUCCCUCAGGCAGCCCGCCCGCCGCCCUGUUUGUCCGCUCUCCCCGCGGCGGCCCGCCCGCCGCCCUGCCCCGCUUCUCGCCCGCCAGCACCGUGGUGCUGCUCCCGGCGCUGCCAGGCGGCCGCCGCGGUUGCCUGGGAGAGCCCGGGCCGCGGGAGGGUCCCUGGGCCCGCUGCAAUAGCGGGAAAUAAAGCUGCUGGGAUGAGCACGUCCGGCCAAGCCGGCAAAGGCACCGGAGGAGAAAUAUGGGAUGUUGGGUAUUAAGAAGUUUGAGCAAGGCUGCUGCGGGCAGAGAUGCUGCCCGGGGCCUCUGAGCAUCACUUGUUGAGUGACACCUUGCAGCGCUGAGCAUGGACCCUAGAGAGGAUUUCUAGGCUCAUUUACAUCAAUGAAACAAGAUUGACUGGUUUUCAUUUGGUCUUGGAAGACAGGCACCAAAACCCCAUUGCAGUAAAACUGAAUCUUGAGUAAAUAGUUAUUUAAUCCAAAAUGAGUGGCAAGGUCAGAGGUCUCUGAAUUCAAGAUAAGAGAGUGGACUCAGUUCUCAAAGUGGAGGCCAUUGUGCUUUAAAACUUUGAUGCACUGGCACUUUGUUGCUAUGUUCAUAUCACUUUAGGUAAUGUACAGAUCAUCUCUAAAAACCCCGGAUUACUGUGGA